GAUGAAGAACGCAGCGAAAUGCGAUAAGUAAUGUGAAUUGCAGAAUUCAGUGAAUCAUCGAAUCUUUGAACGCACAUUGCGCCCCUUGGUAUUCCGAGGGGCAUGCCUGUUCGAGCGUCAUUAUCACCCCUCAAGCUCCGCUUGGUGUUGGGCGUCUGUCCCGCUUCGCGCGCGGACUCGCCCCAAAGGUAUUGGCAGCGGUCGUGCCAGCUUCUCGCGCAGCACAUUGCGCUUCUCGAGGCACCGGUGGGCCCGCGUCCAUCAAGCUCACCCCCCCAGUUUGACCUCGGAUCAGGUAGGGAUACCCGCUGAACUUAAGCAUAUCAAUAAGCGGAGGA
rnacentral:misc_RNA from 1 species